rnacentral:sRNA from 1 species
GGCCAAUAUGGCCAUAUAGUAAAAAUGUAUUAAAUCUUAAAAAAUCUUUGUCUUUACUCCCACACAUGUGGGCAAAAAACUGAAUACAUGGUUAUGAUGUCCACUAACUCCUCUACCUAAAUUGUGAAAUUCAUGGCCCCUCGGUCAGGGGUUCAGGACAUUUGGGGGGGGGGGGGGCAAUAUGGCAAUAUAGUGUUAAUGCAUAUAAUGUUUUAAAAUCUUCUUCUCUGUUCUCACACAUCUGUAUGAAAAAACGAGUUCAUAAUUAUGUUUACCAGGAAGUCCUUUAGUAAAAUUUUUAAUCUCAUGUCCCCUGGGUUUUGACUAGGGCAGGGCCAAAAUGGAUGUAUAGGCAUUAAUGCAUAUAAUGUUUAAAAAUUAUCUUCUUUACUCCCACACACUUAAAAAAGAAAACUGAAUUCAUGAUUUUGUAGACCAGAUCUUUUUUUUUUUGCCAAAAAUUAUAGUUUUCAUAGUUUUUUUUUUUUGCCAAAAAUUAUAGGUUUCAUAGUUCUUUUUGAAAGAUUUCAGGCAGGGAGGUGGUCGUCAUUACAAAUUUUAAUUUUUCUACUCCAGAAUGAAACCCAAUUAAAUGAAUAUAUGAGACUCCUCGACAAGUUUGUGUUUGCGUUAUAUGCUACUCAGGUGACCGUUAAGGCCUAUUGGCCUCUUGUUUGAAUUUUCAUCAGUUUUCACACAUCAAGUAGAUAUGCAUUUUCAUUUUCUUUUUUUUUCUGUGGGGGGAGAGGGGGGGGGGGGUGGUUAACUUUUGAUUAAGUGGUUUUGUUUUAUAAAAAGAUUCUUCCUCAAUUUAAUCCAGAAUCAAAUAAUAGAAUAUUCUUAUUAGAGGAAAUCCAAUAUAUUUAUAGUAAUUGUCAUUUGUUAAAUAAAGAUUAAAAAGUCAUGCCAUUUCAGGACCCAUUUGAUAUGUUCAUCUGUACUGUUUUGUAUAUAUACUGUGUCAUCUUAUACAUGUAUUACAAAGUGCAUAUUGGAAAAAUUAAAUGAUAAAAGAAGAAAUGAAAUAAAAAAUCUCACAGUG